UACAUGGGGUGCAAACGUUGCUCGGAAUUAUUGGGCGUAAAGCGCACGUAGGCGGUCCGUUAAGUCGAUGUGAAAGCCCCCGGCUCAACCGGGGAAGUGCAUCCGAAACUGGCAGGCUAGAGUACGAAAGAGGGUCGCGGAAUUCCCGGUGUAGAGGUGAAAUUCGUAGAUAUCGGGAGGAACACCGGUGGCGAAGGCGGCGACCUGGGUCGAUACUGACGCUGAGGUGCGAAAGCGUGGGGAGCAAACAGG
rnacentral:rRNA from 1 species